GGGCCCGCACAAGCGGUGGAGCAUGUGGUUUAAUUCGAUGAUACGCGAGGAACCUUACCAGGGCUUAAAUGUAAGUUGCAUUAGUUAGAGAUAGCUAUUUCUUCGGACCACUUACAAGGUGCUGCAUGGUUGUCGUCAGCUCGUGCCGUGAGGUGUCAGGUUAAGUCCUAUAACGAGCGCAACCCCUAUCGUUAGUUGCCAGCAGUUCGGCUGGGCACUCUAUGGAAACUGCCCGUGAUAAGCGGGAGGAAGGUGUGGAUGACGUCAAGUCCUCAUGGCCCUUACGGGUUGGGCUACACACGUGCUACAAUGGUCGGUACAGAAAGCAGCCACUAUGCGAAUAGGAGCUAAUCUUUAAAACCGGUCUCAGUUCGGAUCGCAGUCUGCAACUCGACUGCGUGAAGCUGGAAUC
rnacentral:rRNA from 1 species